GGAAGGGUUGCUUAGUGGUUUGAGUAUUGGACUACAACUCUUGAGACCAGGGUUUGAUUCCUUACUUGGCCA